CGCGAGUCUUUAAUGGGAUCCUUAACUAAAAUUGAUGAUUUAAUUAAAUCAAAACAAAAUUAAAAGUGUAUAACCGAUCCUUAGUUAAUGGUUUUUGUAACCGAUGAUAGAAAAGUUUCUUAUAACACGUGUCAGCAACAUGUGUUUUUGUUUUUUUUUUUUUUUUUUUUUCUUUUUCUUUUCUUUUCUUCCUCUCCUCUUCUCUCAUCUUCUCACCGUGGAAGGGAACCGGAGCAUCCGUUCAAUCGGCGUUUCUCUCGUCUUCUCCUCUCCGUCGCGAAGCGUCUCCUUCCUUCAAUCGCCGUCAUGUCCGUCUUUCUCUUCUCUGGUCUUCUCCGAUGGUAAAGGAAGCGUCUCCUCCCUUCAAUCGUCGCUCGUCCAAUCGCUGCGACCCCAUCUCCUCUCUCUUCUGACCGUGGGAGCAUUGAGAGAUUCAUCACAGAGUGGAGCAGUGGGAGCAUCUCAUGCUUGUUGUUUCACAGAGUGGAGCAGUGGUAAAAAGUCUACUUUUCUUGAAGUCUUGGGUUUUGUCGCUUGUUAGACUUAGUUUAUGGUAACACGACACAAGACGAGGCAGAUGUGAGCACACGAGUCACGGAGUUGGGAGUGGAAGAAUCACAGACUUGGGAGUGGAAGGAUCACGUAUUCAUCUACACUCUUCCACAAGUAACCACAAACAAGUAAUUUUUUUUUCUUUUUAAGAAACCCAAAUUAAGAACCUACCAUUGUAGCUUAAAAAUUAGGUGAUUUUUAACUAAGGUUUUUAGCUAAAAUUUAUUAGUUAAAUAAUCAUUAAAGUGUACUUAAGAAA